rnacentral:rRNA from 1 species
ACUCCUACGGGAGGCAGCAGUGGGGAAUAUUGCACAAUGGGCGCAAGCCUGAUGCAGCCAUGCCGCGUGUGUGAAGAAGGCCUUCGGGUUGUAAAGCACUUUCAGUCGUGAGGAAGGUAGCGUAGUUUAAAUAGGCCUGCUAUAUUUUUGAACGUUAGCGACAGAAGAAGCACCGGCUAACUCCGUGCCAGCAGCCGCGGUAAUACGGAGGGUGCGAGCGUUAAUCGGAAUUACUGGGCGUAAAGCGCAUGCAGGUGGUUUGUUAAGUCAGAUGUGAAAGCCCGGGGCUCAACCUCGG